rnacentral:lncRNA from 1 species
GGCAGUGACCCUUUGUUGACCAGGGGAGGCGCGACUCAGGAGAUGGAAAAAGAUUCACCCCCUCAAAAUGCACUGAGUGGGACGAGACAUAGAUUGAUAUGUAUACGUCAUAAAAUAUUUUACAAACGGGCAACAAACCCGAAAACGAGUGGGACAUCAGACCUCGUUUUUGUGAAAGGAAUGCGUCAGCGUCCAGAAAAGACCAGCAAGGACUGAUGGGGGUGAAUAGAGACCAAUAGGAAUCAGUAGAAACCAAUUGGAAUGCACCCCUGUGUGCCUCGAGGCCAGUGCUGGCCUCUCAGGGUGGGGCUGUGUCUUCAGACCCUCAGUCCUGUGCUGAGCUCUCUAACUGUGGUAGUGGCUUGAACUCCCCGGAUUGGUUCCAGCCUGUCAGGCUGUGGCUUCAGGCCCUGGGGCCGGUGCUGGCCUCUCUAGCAGUGGCUUCAGGCCCCAGGGCACGUGCUGGCCCUUUGGGCUGUGGCUUUAGGCCCUGGAGCUGGUGCUGGCCUCUCGAUGCCGUGACUCUGGCUUUAGGCCCAGGGCUGGUGCUGGCCUCUCAGGCUGGGGAUGAGUCUUCAGGAUGCAGCGCCAGUGCAGGCCUGCCUGCCUGUGGCUUCAGGCCCCGGGGUCUGUUUAGGCAUCUCGGGCUGUGGCUUUAGGCGCUGGGGUCGGUGCUGGCCUCUCUUGUGAUGGCUUUAGACCACAGGGCCCUCAUGCCUCUCUGGCUGAGGCUUUAGGCCCCGGGGCUGUGCUGGCCACUCAGGCGCUGCCUUUAGGCCCUAGAGCUUGUGCCGGCCUAGAACAACGUGCAUUUGAAAAUGGCUCAUGGAAGGAAAUGAAAGCAAGAGAGCACUGAGCUCUUCUGUGUGUUUCUUGGAUUGGGAUAGAGACAGGAGAGCGUGCUCAACCUCGUGUGGUUGCUUGUAUCCAGCAACAGCAGCCGCAGCUGAGAACAUCGUCACAUCUUUAUUAGGCACUCCUCCGUCUGUCUCUUUUUGUCUCUGUUUUCUGGAAUGCAGGCAUUUCUCUUUGUGGCCCACAAACUCUUUGUGCCAGGAUAACCAAGUAUGAAUUCUCACUGCUCUUUACCCUGCUCAAGAGAAGGUGGCUGUACUGUGAGGGCAGGUGGGGGCAGGGACG